rnacentral:rRNA from 2 species
GGAGGACACUGAUCCUCCGACCGUGGUUCUAUGUCUUUACACACACACAUAGUGACAAAGUCUAAUGGGAUGUAUGUGGCGUUUAACGCAAUAUAAUACAACUUUCAGCAACGGAUCUCUUGGCUCUCGCAUCGAUGAAGAACGCAGCGAAAUGCGAUAAGUAAUGUGAAUUGCAGAAUUCAGUGAAUCAUCGAAUCUUUGAACGCACCUUGCGCCCUUUGGCUAUUCCGAAGGGCAUGCCUGUUUGAGUAUCAUGAACACCUCAACCCUCAUGGUUUACCAUGUGGGCUUGGACUUUGGGGGUCUUGCUGGAUUGUAGUCAGCUCCCCUUAAAUGAAUCAGCUUGCCAGUGUCUGGUGGCAUCACAGGUGUGAUAAUUAUCUACGCUUGUGGUUUUACAUCAGGUAACCUUCAGAGAUGGGGGUUCACUGGGGCUUACAAAAGGUCUCUCCUUGGUGAGGACAGCUCUUUGAAUGUUUGAUCUCAAAUCAGGUAGGACUACCCGCUGAACUUAAGCAUAUCAAUAAGCGGAGGAAAAG